rnacentral:rRNA from 1 species
AUCAACGCUUGGCGUCGCGCCAUAACACAUGCAAGUCGAACUGAGAAAGUGGAGCAAUCCAUGAGUAAAGUGGCGUACGGGUGAGUAAACACGUGGGUAAUCUACCUCUAGUGGGGAAUAACCGAGGGAAAACCUUGGCUAAUACCGCAUAAGCCUGAGAAGGGAAAGCAGCAAUGCGCUGAGAGAGGAGCCGCGGCUGAUUAGCUAGUUGGUGGGGUAAGAGCCUACCAAGGCCAGAGAUCGGUAGCCGGCCUGAGAGGGCACACGGCCCACUGGCACUGAAACACGGGCCAGACUCCUACGGGAGGCAGCAGUGGGGAAUCUUGCACAAUGGGGAGAAACCCUGAUGCAGCGACGCCGCGUGAGCGAUGAAGCCCUUCGGGGUGUAAGCUCUUUCGUCAGGGAAGAUAAUGACGGUACCUGGAGAAGCAGCUGCGGCUAACUACGUGCCAGCAGCCGCGGUAAUACGUAGGCAGCAGCGUUGUUCGGAGUUACUGGGCGUAAAGGUGUGUAUGGGCGUGUCUUUAAGUUUGGUGUGAAAUCUCCCGGCUCAACUGGGAGGGUGCGCCGAAUACUGAGGGACUAGAGUACGGGAGAGGAAAGUGGAAUUCCUGGUGUAGCGGUGAAAUUGCGUAGAUAUCAGGAGGAACACCGUUGGUGUAACGCUUUCUGGACCGACACUGACGCUGAGACACGAACGUGGGUAGCAAACAGAUUAGAUACUCCUGGUAGUCCACGCCCUAAACGAUGCAUAUUUGGGUGUGGCAGUUCAUUCUGUCCGUGCCGAGCUAACGCGUUAAAUAUGCCGCCUGGGGAGUACAGUCGCAAGGCUGAAACUCAAAGGAAUUGACGGGGGCCCGCACAAGCGGUGGAGCAUGUGGUUCAAUUCGACGCAACGCGAAGAACCUUACCUGGGCUCGAACGGCUUCUCAACGACUGUGGAAACAUGGUUACCCCGCAAGGGGGUGGAGUCGAGGUGCUGCAUGGCUGUCGUCAGCUCGUGUCGUGAGAUGUUGGGUUAAGUCCCGCACGAGCGCAGCCCCUGUCCUGUGUUGCCAUCAUUCAGUUGGGAACUCGCAGGAGACCGCCAGCGAUAAGCUGGAGGAAGGUGGGGAUGACGUCAAGUCCUCAUGGCCUUUAUGCCCAGGGCUACAACACGUGCUACAAUGGACGGUACAAAGCGCAGCAAACCCGCGAGGGGGAGCCAAUCGCAAAAAACCGUUCUCAGUUCGGAUUGCAGCUGCAACUCGCCUGCAUGAAGCUGGAAUCGCUAGUAAUGGCAGAUCAGCACGCUGCCGUGAAAUACGUUCCCGGGCCUUGUACACACGCCCGUCACAUCACGAAAGUGGAUUGUACUAGAAGUCUGCAGGCUGACCCGCAAGGGGGGCAGCGGCCCAGGUAUGAUCCAUGAUUGGGGUG